GCCAGACAGAACAAAGCAAUGGGAGUAUCUUUAAAGGAGCUGGAUAUACGGAGUCCAUGCCAAUGAUAAAGGCUGCUUUGAUGAAGCGAUGGAAAAGAGCUGGGUUUUCAAAGAUGCAUGUCAGGACUGGCAAAAGUCUUGACACAUUGGCAUACGUGGGAACUGUCGAAGGAGUUUAAACUUUCAAUGUGCAAUGUCCUCUCCGACUCUGCUCACUGGAAUUGAGAUACUGUGCUGCCAAUUUCUCCUUCAGUCAGGCUGAUGUUUCCAGCAGUACCACAAAACAAGUCACCCCUAGCGACAUCCUAGAACAGUAUCUUCAAUCAAGGGCAGGCCUUUUCGCUUCAGAACUGACAACUAGGAAUUAAACACCGCAUUGUUGCCUAUAGGAACACACAGGCUUCAGCAUACUUGGAAGAAAAGGCAAGCGUCUUUCCACCAGAUUCAAGAAAAAGAUCCAGAAGAGUGAUCAACAU